rnacentral:tRNA from 1 species
AGGGAAAUAGCUCAGUGGUAGAGUACAUACCUAGCAUACAUGAGGUCCUGGGUUCAAUCCCUAGUUCCUCCA